AGAGUUCUGGCUGAUAUUUCCGGUUGAAUUAAAAAUUGGCUAAAAUAAGGAUGGAAGAACGGAUGGCUAACUUCUUGUCGGUGCUCCAUCAUGGGUGAAUUUAUUUGGUCCAUGCACAGCACGAACCCGGCGGUCCUCGAUGACGAUUGGAUUGAAAAAAUAGACGAAAUCAUCCAAUUUUAUUGAUUGGUCGGCUUGCUCUUGGAUCGAAAUUAUGGACAUGGCUGAGUUAUUUAGAGCACAAAAUGAUGCAUAUAAGGUAGAUAUAAAAAGAUCCCGAGAGCCCAUCCAUUAGUCUCCGAAGGUAGUAUUUUUCUUCCGAACACAGUUCUUCUUUUAGCCCUUAAUUUGGAUUUCUAUUAUUGAAGAACCAUGUUUCGUUGGUUUGUAAUUGGAAACCAGUUCCUGAAAACUGAUAAGUUACCAUUUACAUGACCGCAAAUGCAUUUGCUUCGUUUUUCAAAUGAUGGCAGAAUUGACAUGAGCCAAAAAUACGCCACGUGUGGUUGAUUAUUUGAUGAACCACUCACGUCCCGCUUGCCAACCCCGGAAAAUGCCCCACAAUGCCGCCUUCCAUUUUUAGCAUCUGAUUUGAAUAAAAGUCUUAUAUAACGUUCUAACCUUGACGAAUACGUAACAUGCUCGGACGAGAACGUUCUGCUGUUGCGGUAAUUCGAUGCAUAAAACAUCAGCUUAUUUUUGAAUUACUUUUUUAGAUCAAAUUUUGAAAUUUAAGCGAAUGAAUCCAGCGCUAAAGUUUGAUGAAUGAAACCAAAUUUGUUUCCAAUAUUGACACUUUUCAUUGGCACUCCUUCUGUCCUGUAUUUUCUAUGCAUUCCUUUUUUCCGUUAUUCUGACUUAUAACCAUAAUCUUGUUAUUAGUUUCUUGUUAUCAACUAAUCGUAAAACUAGCGCCUGUAGACUGGCCGCAGCUCUAUUCAACUCAUCUGUGCGUUGCCUGCGCACUCCUCUGGCUCAAGGCUAUAUGGAUUUAUGGAACCAGAUCCCAUCUUCAAUUGGGCGUUACAGUUUACCUCAAAAGAAAGUGACUCAUCAGUGGACCUUGAUUUACAUUGAACGAGAGGCACUUGGUUAUGCUCAGGUAAAAAAGAUUUACUCAAAUUCAGUUUUGCAUUCAUUAUAUUCGUGUAUUUUUCAACGUUGAAACAGGGAUUAUUAAGUUAAGUGGUAGGUAAUUCAGAUACGUUUUAAUCAUAAGAUUGGCACUGAAACAAACUCAUAAUUUAAAGAUAAUAUCAGUCCCAGCACCGACACAACUACUUAUACUACUAAAAUACCACUCCACCUCUAGUAUUAAGCAAAAACCUAACCCAGUGUCAACGCUACAAUUCGUCUUCAAGCUAACAAAAUCUAUUGAUAUCUUAAACAAUUCCCGUGCUAACUACUUAGUGGCUACCAGGUGAGGAAGAUGGAGACGACGGAGUCGAGUUUCAUCGUCAUCACAGGCAGGUGUACUACCUGAAUUUCCUGGACAUCCUUUGUCUCCUUAUAGUCUCCUUUGUCUCCUUAUAGUCUCCUUUGUCUCCUUAUAGUCUCCUUUGUCUCCUUGGCUUUUAGAUUAAUUAUUUAGAGAAAAAGACACAGACUAACGAACUAAUGCCACACAUAAAUAUGCUUACCGCUUCUUGCAAACAGCGAGACUAAAUCAGACAGGUUCGGAUUCGAUUGGCCAAAUCCGCGCCAUUUUUUAAAAUCCGUUUCCGGAACGUUACUACCUGCAAAGACAAAGUAAGAAUUGCAAUUUUUCAACAUUACUUUUAGCGUAUACUGUGCUGUUUUGUGUUUAAUUUAUCUGAUAUAAUUUUACAUACCACGAUGGUGAGUUCUGGCUGAUAUUUUCGGUUGAAUUAAAAAGUGACUAAAAUAAGGAUCGAAGCUAACUCCAUGCCGACGAUGCUCGAUUGCGGUUGAAUUUCUUUGACCCAUGCACAGCACGAACCCGGUAAGACAUACGUAAACUAGAGUGACCAAAGAGAACAUUCUGUUUGUGUUUUUGAGUGCACUGUUCUUCAACAUUGGAUAGCACAACAAUUUAUAUACUCUUUUUCCCCGCACAGGCGUGCCUCGACGACGAUCGGAUGGAAAGAAUCAUCCAACUUAUCGAUUGGUCGGCUUGCUCUUGGAUCGAAAUUAUGGUCUUUGCCGAGUUAAUUUUAGAGCACAACAUGGUUCACCCAAGAUUUCUAUUAUUGGAGAACCAUGUUUCGUUAGAUUUUAAUUGGAAACCAGUUUCUGAAAAUCGAUAAGUUACCAGACGAAGCGCAUUUGCCGAGUUUUUAAUAAAAUGGUGGUAUUGACAUUACGCCAAAAAUACGCCACGUGCGGUUCAUUAUUUGAUGAACCACUCAGGUGCCGCUUGCCAACCCCGGAAAAUGCCCCGAAAGCCACCUUCCAUUUAUAGCACACCUGAUUUGAAUAAAAUUCUUCAUUCGAAUCUUGACGACUGCGUAACAUGUUCGGACAAGAACGUUCUGCUGUUGCGGUAAAACCGACGCAUGAAACAUUUUCAGAACUAUAUAGCCUGUACGAAAGUAGACUGGCGGCGGUUUUAUUCAAAUCUUCCGUGCGUUGCAUGCGCACUCCUUUAGGCAACCAGAUCCCAUCUUCAAUUGGGCGUUACAGUUUACCUCAAAAGAAAGUGACUCAUCAGUGGACCUUGAUUUACAUUGAACGAGAGGCACUUGGUUAUGCUCAGGUAAAAAAGAUUUACUCAAAUUCAGUUUUGCAUUCAUUAUAUUCGUGUAUUUUUCAACGUUGAAACAGGGAUUAUUAAGUUAAGUGGUAGGUAAUUCAGAUACGUUUUAAUCAUAAGAUUGGCACUAAAACAAACUAACUCAUAUAAUUUAAAGAUAAAUAUCAAUCCCAGCACCGACACAACUACUUUUCCAUCAAGAAUUGUGAACAGCAUCUACCCCAUUUCCUUUCGCUAUUAAGUUUUUUAAAAUUGUUCUACUAUAACGACCAGGAGGACCCAGAACUCCAGCAGGUCCAGCUUCUAUAAAUCAUCCUGAUGUUGUUGGACAUAGGCCUAUAAAAAUUAGUAAAAUUGGUCAGACUGAUAACAAUUAUGACAAACGGAGCUCUUGUGAGCCACCGAUAGACAUACCGAAUGAAGCUAAGAUGGUGUCCAAGCCCAGGAGGCUUAUAAGCGAAACUUGUCUGGCAAUAGCUUCAGAUUUUCCUUUCAGAUCAUUAUUGUCCUUGG